GCCGGACGUGGUGGUGCACGCCUGUAAUCCCAGCUACUUGGGAGGCUGAGGCAGGAGAAUUGCUUGAACCCGGGAGGUAGAGGUUGCAGUGAGCUGAGACUGUGCCACUGCACUCCAGCCUGGGCAACAGAGCGAGAUCCUGUCUCGA
rnacentral:SRP_RNA from 1 species